AGCGCAGGCGGUUUCUUAAGUCUGAUGUGAAAGCCCCGGCUUAACCGGGGAGGGUCAUUGGAAACUGAGGAACUUGAGUGCAGAAGAGGAGAGUGGAAUUCCAUGUGUAGCGGUGAAAUGCGUAGAUAUAUGGAGGAACACCAGUGGCGAAGGCGACUCUCUGGUCUGUAACUGACGCUGAGGCUCGAAAGCGUGGGGAGCAAACA
rnacentral:rRNA from 1 species